AUGUGCAUAUGUAACUUGUGUGAGUGUACAUGUAUGUACUUGUGUAGCUUGUGAGAGUGUACAUGUAUGUGCACGUGUAGCUUGUGUGAGUGUUUGUAAUGAAAGUAAGACGUAGGGGGGAUGUGUUUGACGCGGUAGCAGCGUUGCUCCAAGUGAAAAAUCAAGCUGCUGUACUCCAGCCCUCGCUGAGUGGUCCUAGGUCUGGGCUCCUCUGUCCCAAAAGGCAGUUUUUAGUAAGCUCUAAGCCCUAAACUAUUAUCAUCAUGAUGUAAGUUGUGUUGACACGCUAGUCUUUUCUAUCUUGCACUACCAGGCCGUGCCUGUAGAGGGCGUGGUGACCACAUACUGUACCUUUGUGGAAUUAUUUUGUGGUGAUUAUGAAGACCACUUACUAUACCUUUGUGGGAAUAUUUUGUGGUGAUGUUUUUGAGGACCACUUACUGUACCUUUGUGGAAAUAUUUUGUGGUGAUUAUGAAGACCACUUACUAUACCUUUGUGGAAAUAUUUUGUGGUGAUGUUUUUGAGGACCACUUACUGUACCUUUGUGGAAAUAUUUUGUGGUGAUGUUUUUGAGGACCACUUACUGUACCUUUGUGGAAAUAUUUUGUGGUGAUUAUGAAGACCACUUACUAUACCUUUGUGGGAAUAUUUUGUGGUGAUGUUUUUGAGGACCACUUACUGUACCUUUGUGGAAAUAUUUGCCAAGGCUGGCGCUGUAGCUGUAGCUCCGAUCCAUUCCAAACGCUCCUGAAAAAACAAGUUUGUACAUUUCUCAAAGUGUUUACAUUCACACAUCAGUUUAAAUGUUGAUAUCACUUUGCUGUAUCUGCCUGUUCAUCAGGCUUGUAGGAUGAAGAUAAAUGUUUGAUAGCAAAUCAAAGAAGGACCGAUGAAGUUCAUGAAGGUGCAGGAAGCCAGGCCAGUUAAGAAAGUGAUCCAGGACGUGCUGAGGUCUCACCUGGUUCUUGGCGAGCCUGCUGGUGUUUCCAGUCUGCAGGCAGCGUGGCGUUGAAGAGGCCGUGACCGUCUGGCUGCAUCUUCUUCAGCUGCUGGUUGGUGUUCUGCACAAACAAAAGGAUCCAGGCCAGGACUUGGUGCCACUGCAGGAUGUGUACUGGAAGACCACAAACCAGGACUUGGUGCCACUGCAGGAUGUGUACUGGAAGACCACAAACCAGGACUUGGUGCCACUGCAGGAUGUGUACUGGAAGACCACAAACCAGGACUUGGUGCCACUACAGGAUGUGUACUGGAAGACCACAAACCAGGACUUGGUGCCACUACAGGAUGUGUACUGGAAGACCACAAACAGCAUGUGACUUCUAGGAUACUUGUGUUACUAC